CGCCAGACUCCUACGGGAGGCAGCAGUGGGGAAUAUUGCACAAUGGGGGAAACCCUGAUGCAGCGACGCCGCGUGAGUGAAGAAGUAUUUCGGUAUGUAAAGCUCUAUCAGCAGGGAAGAAAAUGACGGUACCUGACCAAGAAGCCCCGGCUAACUACGUGCCAGCAGCCGCGGUAAUACGUAGGGGGCAAGCGUUAUCCGGAUUUACUGGGUGUAAAGGGAGCGUAGACGGCAUGGCAAGUCAGAUGUGAAAGCCCGGGGCUCAACCCCGGGACUGCAUUUGAAACUGUCAGGCUGGAGUGCAGGAGAGGUAAGUGGAAUUCCUAGUGUAGCGGUGAAAUGCGUAGAUAUUAGGAGGAACACCAGUGGCGAAGGCGGCUUACUGGACUGUAACUGACGUUGAGGCUCGAAAGCGUGGGGAGCAAACAGGAUUAGAUACCCCUGUAUA
rnacentral:rRNA from 1 species